AUUGAACGCUGGCGGCAGGCCUAACACAUGCAAGUCGAGCGGAUGACGGGAGCUUGCUCCUUGAUUCAGCGGCGGACGGGUGAGUAAUGCCUAGGAAUCUGCCUGGUAGUGGGGGACAACGUUUCGAAAGGAACGCUAAUACCGCAUACGUCCUACGGGAGAAAGCAGGGGACCUUCGGGCCUUGCGCUAUCAGAUGGGCUCGGGUCGGAUUAGCUAGUUGGUGAGGUAAUGGCUCACGAAGGCGACGAUCCGUAACUGGUCUGAGAGGAUGAUCAGUCACACUGGGACUGAGACACGGUCCAGACUCCUACGGGAGGCAGCAGUGGGGAAUAUUGGACAAUGGGCGAAAGCCUGAUCCAGCCAUGCCGCGUGUGUGAAGAAGGUCCUCGGAUUGUAAAGCACUUUAAGUUGGGAGGAAGGGCAGUAAGUUAAUACCUUGCUGUUUUGACGUUACCGACAGAAUAAGCACCGGCUAACUCUGUGCCAGCCGCCGCAGUAACAC
rnacentral:rRNA from 1 species